UACGGAGGGUGCAAACGUUGCUCGGAAUCAUUGGGCGUAAAGCGCACGUAGGCGGUUCGUUAAGUCGGAUGUGAAAGCCCCGGGCUCAACCCGGGAAGUGCAUACGAAACUGGCGGACUUGAAUAUGGAAGAGGGUCGCGGAAUUCCCGGUGUAGAGGUGAAAUUCGUAGAUAUCGGGAGGAACACCAGUGGCGAAGGCGGCGACCUGGGCCAAUAUUGACGCUGAGGUGCGAAAGCGUGGGGAGCAAACAGGG
rnacentral:rRNA from 1 species